AAUACACCCCCAGACUCUCUCUCUCUCUCUGACACGGCACAACUGUUGUUGAAGGAACAACAUCGUCCAGUGUUUUAUCCUCAAGACAAAUCAACCUGGUGUUGUCCCAAAUGGCUCCCUCAUCACUGCGUUUGACCAGGACCCGAAGGAAUUUGAGUCAAAAGUAGUGUACUAUGUAUUUGGGAAUAGUUUACCAUUUUGGUACGCAGCCAGUAUACCAACCACCACCAACUGUAACACAGUAAUCUAUGUUUCGUAUUUUAACAGGGCGGUCCUAUUCAUGUCUACAUCCCCUGACUAGGGCACUAAGUACUCCAUCCACAAUGAUCCCCCUGUCUAGUGGACUACGUUUUGAUUAGAGCAAUGGGGGUGCCGUUUGGGAGGCCCAUUUACGAUCAGUACAUCUAUCAGACAUGUCUAGGUGGGUCUUACUGUAGGAUGUCAACAGGUCCCAGCCCUGCCAGACAUAAAUAGUCUUAUACAAUUGUUUUCCUUUUUCUCCUGUUUAUUAAAAACCCAAUAAAUCUGAUCAUGAAUAGUU